GGUCCUCGUUUUCACCAUGGCCAUCACUCAGUUUCGGUUAUUUAAAGUUUGUACCUGCCUAGCAACAGUGUUCUCAUUCCUAAAGAGAUUAAUAUGCAGAUCUGGCAGAGGAAGGAAAUUAAGUGGAGAUCAAAUAACUUUACCCAUUACAGUUGAUUAUUCGUCUGUUCCUAAGCAGACAGAUGUGGAGGAGUGGACUUCCUGGGAUGAAGAUGCACCCACAAGUGUAAAGAUUGAAGGAGGUAAUGGGAAUGUGGCAAUGCAGCAGAACUCUUUGGAACAACUGGAACCUGACUAUUUCAAGGACAUGACACCAACUAUACGGAAAACUCAGAAAAUUGUCAUUAAGAAGAGAGAACCAUUGAAUUUUGGUGUCCCAGAUGGUAGCACGGGUUUUUCCAGUAGAUUGGCAGCUACACAAGAUAUGCCUUUUAUUCAUCAGUCUUCAGAAUUAGGUGACUUAGAUACAUGGCAAGAAAAUACCAAUGCAUGGGAAGAGGAAGAAGAUGCAUCCUGGCAAGCAGAAGAAGUUCUGAGGCAGCAGAAAAUUGCAGACAGAGAGAAGAGAGCAGCAGAACAACAAAGGAAGAAAAUGGAGAAGGAGCACAGCGCCUGAUGAAGAAGGAGCAAACCAAAAUCGGUGUGAAGCUUUCCUAACACAGGCUUUGCUGUGACCGCGCCAGUAGGAGAAGUCUGGGCCCACAGCCUACACACAAGCAUUUGUAUGGACUGGACAGUACUUUCAGAAUACUCUGCUUGAUCUUAAUGUGUUUAUUGAGCUAUUCAGGACACCAGGAUUCUCCCAUAAUACCUUGAACUAAAGUAAUCAAGACUCAAAACACAAAAAUAAUGAGACAAUUAUUUUCUUCAAUGUGUUCCAAAUAUAAGACAAUUGUUUGCUGUAGAGAAGUUAUUUCAAGAGGAAUAUACCUGACAAGUACCUCUCAAGCUAGUGUUUCUAGCUGAAUAAAUGGGUGUAAAUAAUUUUAUGGUGGAAAACUACUCUGCUAUCUAUUAUGCUUUUGUUCAUCGUGCAUAAUUAUAAAAUAAUUUUAAUAAUUUUUUGUUUCCAUGAUCAAACUGUAGGUAGGGCUUUAUACCCUUCUUAAUUUUGUUUUCAGGUACUGUUGACAUACAUUUUCUAUAAUUUGAACUGGCAUUAUUUGGUACAACAUUAAGGAAUAUGAUAAUUUGGGUUUUUAAGAAAAUAACAUUAAA